rnacentral:rRNA from 1 species
AUACGGAGGGUGCAAGCGUUAUUCGGAAUCACUGGGCGUACAGGACGCGUAGGCGGGUUUGUAAGUCUGGUGUGAAAUCCUACAGCUUAACUGUAGAACUGCACUUGAAACUACAGACCUAGAGUAUGGGAGGGGCAGAUGGAAUUAGUGGUGUAGGGGUAAAAUCCGUAGAUAUCACUAGGAAUACCGAAAGCGAAGGCGAUCUGCUGGAACAUAACUGACGCUAAGGCGUGAAAGCGUGGGGAGCAAACAGGAUUAGAUACCCUAGUAGUCC